rnacentral:rRNA from 1 species
UACAUGGGGUGCAAACGUUGCUCGGAAUUAUGGGGCGUAAAGCGCACGUAGGUGGCGACGUAAGUCGGGUGUGAAAGCCCCGGGCUCAACCUGGGAAUUGCAUUCGAGACUGCAUUGCUGGAGUACGGAAGAGGAAGGCGGAAUUCCCGGUGUAGCGGUGAAAUGCGUAGAUAUCGGGAGGAACAUCAGUGGCGAAGGCGGCCUUCUGGUCCAGUACUGACACUCAAGUGCGAAAGCGUGGGGAGCAAACAGG